CUCAUGGAUGGUGAAAUUCUGUUUGUUUACUUUAUUUCCAUUUUAUGACUAAAGGGACCAGGCACCAGGUAGAGAAGGUCGGAUGAUUGACAGCUGCCACAGAAUAAAAAUCUAAAUAGAGUAUGCAACUUACAGUACACCAAAUCUGUACAGUUCAUUCGGUACCCUAGAGCCUUAAGGUUCAGUUCACAGUUCACACACACAGGAUAAGAAAAGAGCCGGGGUGAUGAUGGCUAUGGCACAGGGCACAAGUAUUAGUUAUCAGCAAAUUUCCUGGCAUUUUGACGUUUGAGAAAAUUUGAAAAGUCAAAUUUAAUGUUAAGCCCGCUUUACAGUGAAUUUUCAAAAAGUAUCAAAAAUUUGAUGUCCCAUCUCUUUGUCCAGAAUGUUUGAAUUUAUAAUCAGAGUCUCGGGACUUUCUCUGGGUAGUUGGUGCUCUUGAUGCAAAUCUGACAGAAAUUAAUUUGAGGUUAAAGUCUAAAUAACGAAUCAACACACAUUAUAUUGUAUAAAUUACAAUAAAUGCUCAAAAUGCCCUGCUUUCAUUUCGAAGCAUUUUAAACACGUUAUGGAUUUCGUACGACGCAACAAAACUUUGAAAUAUUUGGCGAAAAUCUUCCACACGUGGUGUUAUUGAGCAUUUCCACUCGCAUGCACGUUUACCUAAGGUAGCUGUAAAGAAAUCAUUUAUUUCCAACAUUGGAAGUUUCACACUUCAGUUUUGUCAAUUAUACAGACUGUUCGCGGAUUGCGAGCAAAUAUUUUAACCACUAAGAUAAUUUGUUAUGAAAAGUCGAAUUGAAGACCAAAUAAAUUUCGUAUCCAAAUUUUUUUGUAACUUCCCCCCAUGAUUUUCACAAGCCGUUCAGUGUGCCUGUCCUUGUUAGUUGGAAGUAAAAAUAUCAAUGAAAAUAAUUUGCAUUGAAUGUUGAGCGUGAAAAAAAAGGAACUUUUUGCCAAAAAAAAUUAUCAGUUGUUUACAUGCGUGAGUUUAGUCAGUUGUUAAAAUUGGCUGUAAAACUGACAAAACUGCCAAUUUUAACUUGUUUUAAUGUGUUGUGUUUUAGACUUUAGCCUUUUACAAUUUAUUGUUAUUUUUAUAUUAUUUAUUGACAGGUUUAAUUGUUGGCGAGGGAAGUGUGAUGUUACUGGGAAUUUUUGUUGGUGGUUGAGUUUUUCAAAAACAUCCGUCUUGCGCAUAACAGCUGGCCAGUCUCAGUUCUUCCUUGACUUGUGCCAUGCUUCACACGCUCAACCAACGAGAAUGCUUCGGCUGAAGAAGAUACAAUAAAAGUUUCGAAACGUCGCGACGAA